UCAGCUUGGCUUGAAGUCUCCCAAACCGCCUUUCCCAAUCUUCAUAUUCCUGUUGUCUCUAUUUUCACUGACAGCCGGACUUUCAUUGAGCUCUGGUGGUUCUCCCAGCCUCACCCAGAUCCUGCCCAUGUCUGCCUCGGGCAGGUGUUUCUCCUAAAACCAUCCCAUCCGACUGAAUCACGGUUUGUCAGUUCUCUGAGGUCCAUUGUAGAGUCGCCUCAUCAGGGAUCCCCAACAAGCCCAGGCAUCCUCCUGCAUAACCUCUUCCGUCCAAGAAGACCCGUCUCUGUCUCUCAGCACAGAGCUCUUAUUCAGACCUCGGUCUGCCCUCCCUGCUCGGACUGUGUUGCUUGUUCUUCCCGACUCUUCGGGGGCAGACACGACGAAUUUCCUCCACCAGGACCAGCCGGUGGUCCCCACAUUCCUUUGGAUGAGCAGAUCUGCUGGGGAUUCGAGAGAAAGCAAGCACAGGCUCCUGGACCACACAGCCUCCCGAAUCCUACCCUCACUCAGGCUUCCCUAGAAAAAUCUGGAUGUGUGCAAAAGAACACUUGGAGCCACUGCAGCUUUUCCACGACUAAGGUAGGUGCCUUUUUCAGAUGUGUCUCUGGGUUCCUGAUUUGUCUUUUUACAGCCUUCUCGGCCCCGGGACUCGCGUGUGCUCCCCAGCAAAGACGACGAGCCUCACCAAAAGCGUUGGGGGGCUUCGCUCCAUCUGGCCUUUUUAUUUCAUUUUAUUUUGCAAAUCCGGACAAGACUUUCUCCCAUCUGCCGCUCCAUGUCUUAGGUGUGGGUGGGAGCGUGGACAUGUAUGUGCGGCGUGUCCUGUGCCAGCUUCAUGCACAUCUCCACAGAAGCAUUUGAUUUUUGUUUUUUGUUUGUUUGUUUGUUUGUGUGUGUUUUUUUUUUUUUUUUUUGCCCCUUCGGACUUUAAAAAAAAAAAAGAAAGAAAAGAAAAUCGAGACCACCGUGGUUUGCAAGCAUUUUGCUGCAAUCAGCUAUUUGAACGGCUCUGGGGCCGUGUGUGAUGUGUUUACAAAGUAGCGCCGUCUUCCAUACAAAUAAACAGAAGAGUGUGGCGGGGAGAGGAGGAAAA
rnacentral:lncRNA from 1 species